UACGUAGGGGGCUAGCGUUGUCCGGAAUCAUUGGGCGAAAGAGCGUGUAGGCGGUCCGGUCAGUCGGUUGUGAAAGUCAAGGGCUCAACCCUUGAAUGCCGGCCGAUACUGCCGGGCUAGAGUCCGGAAGAGGUGAGUGGAAUUCCUGGUGUAGCGGUGAAAUGCGCAGAUAUCAGGAGGAACACCAAUGCGAAGGCAGCUCACUGGGGACGGUACUGACGCUGAGACGCGAAAAGCAUGGGGGAGCAAACAGG
rnacentral:rRNA from 1 species